UGAGUCCCAUCCAAGACUUGGCCCACUGCUGUGCCCUGCACAGAUGGACAGAUGGUUGGAAGGAUGGAUGGAUGGAUGGAUGGAUGGAUGGAUGGAUGGGGUUGGAUGGAUGGAUGGAUGGAUGGAUGGAUAGUGGAUAGAUGGAUGAAUAGUGGAUGGAUAAAUGGAUUAAUGGAUGGAUGAAUGGAUGAUGGAUGGAUGAAUGAGAUGGAUGGAUUGAUGGAUGGAUGGAUGGAUGGAUGGAUGGAUGGAUGGAUGGAUGGAAGAAUGGAUGAUGGAUGGAUGAGAUGGAUGGAUGGAUGGAUGGAUGGAUGGAUGGAUGGAUGGAAGAAUGGAUGAUGGAUGGAUGAGAUGGAUGGAUGAUGGAUGCUUCUAAACACUCACUGCUGUCGCCUUCUCUGGAAAAGUGUCCGUGACUGAGAAGGUCCUCCUUGCCCACCCCACAGGCAUUGUACUGACUGGCAUGGGGUUUGAAGACACUAAGGAGUUGGAUUUUAUUGAUGUAAAGUAGCAAAUAUUCCUGUGUCCCCAGGAAGGGUGAGGUUCUAUGCCAGGUUGGGAUGAGAUUACCGAAAUGUUUGAGAAAGAAAGAGCUCUUCCCGCUGAGAACACCGCUCUUAAAACUCCACCUCCCCAUGGCUUCACAUCAGCAAAGCCCAGAGAUCGCGCCAACCACACAUGGAGACCAAUAGGACCAAGAAGGCAGAUCUGCCGGGAUUAGGGAAGAACUUGAACCUGUGGCUGCAAAGUUGGCGCUUGGCAGACACUCAGGAUGCUCUGCUUCUCUCCAAGAUCUGGGCCUUCUUUUUGAUGACAAAAGUUGCCUUAGCCCCAGCUCCUAAGCACUUAGAAACAAAAUAAAAUUAAGUUUUGAAUAACAAGUCUUGAGUUGUUGGGGUGAGGUCACUGUUGAACCACUGUGUCAGGCCCAAAGAAUGUUUCCAUUGCCCGCCGCCUCUCGGGUGACCCCCUCAAAGGAGGCCCGCCUGCUACAGCAGGUCACAAAUAGAGGGCAAUUAAUUUUUACAACCCUCUGCUCUCAGCGGCCACCACAUGCUGGGGUGAGGUCACUCUUGCCACUUUAUUUUUAUCUGUUUUAAAGAUGUUGGUGUCUUGAGACUCACACUUCCCCAGCGAGCUCAGAUCCCCUGGUUCACAAGUGGCAGCUCUGCAGAGCUCCAUGGUGGGUGACUGUGGGUGACAGCAAAGACCACCACCCAAUAUUACGCAAUAUUACGUGAGCUCAGACGAGUUCCUUCCCCUCUCAAGGCCUUGGUUUUCUCAACCCCAAAUGCUAAGCAUCGACUAGACUAGCAGUUCCCAAAUUUCAGUAAUUUCUGAACCACCACCAUCAUUUUGGCCUGACCUACCACCUGCACUAUAAUUCAAGUCACUAUUUUUCUUUUCCUGUAAAUCACCUCACAUUUCUAAUUAGACAUUUAACUAAAAGGAAACUUGAGAUCAUUAUCAUAAAUGGAAGUCGACAUUCCUUGCCAUUAAUAAAAGGUAACUACAGAGAUAAAUACCUUGACCACAAACGAGCAUUGCUAAAUUCCAGCCAGAUACUGCUGCCUGCUGAUGGCUUCAAGCCUGAGGCCUCUCUCUCUUUGUUCAAAAGGGAGCUUAGAAGUGUCAGGAGGUGCUAAAGACUCUUAGUGCCAGAUGAAGAAUUUUCCUUUGAUCUAACCACAGGGGAAUAAUUUUCACACUGUAUAAAUCGAUGCCCUAAAAUCUCAAAUCACCUUCCCCUCAACCAGCAGUUUGGUUGAAGAAGCUGGAAACUUGGGAAGACACUGGUUUAAACCUUUCCUACAAAUCUUUACUUUUGAGUGAUGAUAUAAAGCUCUAGAUUGCUUCUGGAGCUUUCUUGCAAGCUACACAGCAUUUGGCCAAGUGUGGUGCCAGGACCACCUAUAUUACAGUCCUGGGACCCCAACCUGGAUCUACUGAGUCAGGGUCUUUGAAUUUGAGGCCCGAGCACCCACCUUUGUAGCAAGGGAUCUUUGAGACUAGUGUUUGAGGGGGCUUCACCCAAGUUAGAGGAACAAAAUGUGGCACUUGUCAGAAGGCCUGCGGGAAGAGACCAGCCUUGAAUGAGGGCCCCGAGAGUGAAGCAAGAAUCCACUCUGGUUAGUGCUGGUGGUGUCGGCCGCUAUGCACUUGUGAAAAUAAAUGACUCUCUUCUGGAUAAGGUAGAGAUGCCUGGUGGACUUAUUCCGAGCCAGAGAAGACCCAGCAAAUUCCUCUGACUCUGUCUCAGAAUGGUGUGGAAUGAACUCCACCCCAUGGACCCCAGGAGAGACCUUAAGGAGUUGGAUUUUAUUGACAUCAAGUAGCAAACAUUCCUGUGUUCCCAGGAAGGGUGAGGUUCUGUGCCAAGUUAGGAUACGAUUAUUGAAACUCUUGAGAGAGAAAGAGCUCUUCCCUCUGAGAAGCAUCAACCUAGAGCUGUGAGCGGGGCUGGGGUGCCGCGCUGGCCCUGUCUCUGCUCUUGCGCCACGGUGAAAACAUCUUUCACUGGGAGUUGUCAGCUCUGCCCUCUCUGCCAACAGAAACUUGGAAGCAGCCGUGCCUUUCUGCCUCCCGCUUGCCUUCCCAGCAGGUCUGAUCAAUGUCCGUUUUAAACCAGGACAUUUCGUCUCACUGUGGAGCCUGUGAACACAGGGCACUGUGGAGCCCAGCUUCUCCUUGUUCAUUGUCGUGCAGGGACUGCCAUUUGGAGAGAAAAGUCAGGUUGGGAGGCUCUGCUGCAGGCCGCCUCUUUGAAAAUCAGAUGAAUUCCAAGCAAGGGCAA
rnacentral:lncRNA from 10 species